rnacentral:tRNA from 1 species
UCGGGCGUAGCUCAGUGGUAGAGCGGUCGACUGUUAAUCGAUUGGUCGAAGGUUCGAAUCCUUCCGCCCGAGCCA